rnacentral:rRNA from 1 species
AUUGAACGCUGGCGGCAGGCCUAACACAUGCAAGUCGAGCGGAUGAAGGGAGCUUGCUCCUGGAUUCAGCGGCGGACGGGUGAGUAAUGCCUAGGAAUCUGCCUGGUAGUGGGGGAUAACGUCCGGAAACGGGCGCUAAUACCGCAUACGUCCUGAGGGAGAAAGUGGGGGAUCUUCGGACCUCACGCUAUCAGAUGAGCCUAGGUCGGAUUAGCUAGUUGGUGGGGUAAAGGCCUACCAAGGCGACGAUCCGUAACUGGUCUGAGAGGAUGAUCAGUCACACUGGAACUGAGACACGGUCCAGACUCCUACGGGAGGCAGCAGUGGGGAAUAUUGGACAAUGGGCGAAAGCCUGAUCCAGCCAUGCCACGUGUGUGAAGAAGGUCUUCGGAUUGUAAAGCACUUUAAGUUGGGAGGAAGGGCAGUAAGUUAAUACCUUGCUGUUUCGACGUUACCAACAGAAUAAGCACCGGCUAACUUCGUG